rnacentral:antisense_RNA from 1 species
CGGACGGUGUGGUCCCAGGUCGUGUCCGGUCCGACCAGCACGUCGGCGCCGAAGUACUCGCCGUCGCUGAGGAUUCCGAGCGACCGCUCGUCAUCGAAGGCGCCGGGACCGAACCGCCCCACCUUGCCGUGGGCGAUGAGGACGACCUCGGCCGCGGCGGCGCCGGCUUCGGCGAGAAUCUCCCCGGGGGAGUACUCACGCUGGACGAAGGCGUCAGCCAGCGUGGUGAGCUCGCCACCGUCGAAGCCGCGCAGCACCGGCAGCUCGGUCAGCUCGGCCGGGACGACCCGGACGUCCGACCCGGUGUUGGUGAACGUGAGGAGGCCGUCGCCGACGACAUAGGUGAGACGUCGGUUGACCCGGUACACGCCACCCGCCGUGUGCACCCAGGGCAGGACCCGCAGCAGCCAGCGGGACGAGAUCUCCUGCAUCUGCGGAACGGACUUGGUGGUGGUCGCGAGAUUCCUAGCGGCCGCGGUGCUGAGGCUCAGCGGCUGAUCCGG